UAGGGAAUCUUCCGCAAUGGACGCAAGUCUGACGGAGCAACGCCGCGUGAGUGAAGAAGGAUUUCGGUUCGUAAAACUCUGUUGUUAGAGAAGAACAGCGCAUAGAGUAACUGUUAUGCGUGUGACGGUAUCUAACCAGAAAGCCACGGCUAACUACGUGCCAGCAGCCGCGGUAAUACGUAGGUGGCAAGCGUUGUCCGGAUUUAUUGGGCGUAAAGCGAGCGCAGGCGGUCAAUUAAGUCUGAUGUGAAAGCCCCCGGCUCAACCGGGGAGGGUCAUUGGAAACUGGUUGACUUGAGUGCAGAAGAGGGGAGUGGAAUUCCAUGUGUAGCGGUGAAAUGCGUAGAUAUAUGGAGGAACACCAGUGGCGAAGGCGACUCUCUGGUCUGUAAAUGACGCUGAGGCUCGAAAGAGUGGGUAGCAAACAGG
rnacentral:rRNA from 1 species